rnacentral:rRNA from 1 species
UACGAAGGGGGCUAGCGUUGCUCGGAAUUACUGGGCGUAAAGCGCACGUAGGCGGCUUUCUAAGUCGGGGGGUGAAAUCCUGGAGCUCAACUCCAGAACUGCCUUCGAUACUGGAGAGCUCGAGUCCGGGAGAGGCGAGUGGAACUGCGAGUGUAGAGGUGAAAUUCGUAGAUAUUCGCAAGAACACCAGUGGCGAAGGCGGCUCACUGGCCCGAUACUGACGCUGAGGCACGAAAGCGUGGGGAGCAAACAGG